GGAGGGUGCGAGCGUUAAUCGGAAUGACUGGGCGUAAAGGGCAUGUAGGCGGAUGAUUAAGUUAGGUGUGAAAGCCUCGGGCUCAACCUGAGAAUAGCAUUUAAAACUGGUGAUCUGGAGUACUGUAGAGGGAGGUAGAAUUCCACGUGUAGCGGUGAAAUGCGUAGAGAUGUGGAGGAAUACCGGUGGCGAAGGCGGCCUUCUGGACAGAUACUGACGCUGAGAUGCGAAAGCGUGGGGAGCAAACAGGAUUAGAUACCCUGGUAGUCCACGCUGUAAACGAUGUCGAUUUAGAGUUUGUUGCCUAGAGUGAUGGGCUCCGAAGCUAACGCGAUAAAUCGACCGCCUGGGGAGUACGGCCGCAAGGUUA
rnacentral:rRNA from 1 species